AUACGGGGGAUUCAAGCGUUAUCCGGACUUAUUGGGUUUAAAGGGUGCGUAGGCUGAUAAAUCAGUCAGCGGUGAAAUUUACGGGCUUAACUUGUAGCUUGCCGUUGAAACUAUUUAUCUAGAGAUAUCUCGGCGUAUGCGGAAUGUAUCAAGUAGCGGUGAAAUGCAUAGAUAUGCUACAGAACACCAAUCGCGAAGGCAGCAUACGAGGCAUCAUCUGACGCUGAUGCACGAAAGCGUGGGGAUCAAACAGGAUUAGAUACCCUGGUAGUCCACGCCCUAAACGAUGAAUACUAGGUGUGGGGGGACUGACCCCCUCCGUGCCGGAGUAAACACAAUAAGUAUUCCACCUGGGGAGUACGACCGCAAGGUUGAAACUCAAAUGAAUUGGCGGG
rnacentral:rRNA from 1 species